UACGAAGGGGGCUAGCGUUAUUCGGAAUUACUGGGCUUAAAGAGUUCGUAGGCGGCAUGAAAAGCAGGGUGUGAAAGCCCUCGGCUCAACCGAGGAAUUGCGCUCUGAACUGUCGUGCUUGAGGAACCUAGAGGUGAGCAGAACUGAUGGUGGAGCGGUGAAAUGCGUUGAUAUCAUCAGGAAUACCGGAGGCGAAGGCGGCUCACUGGGGGUUUUCUGACGCUGAGGAACGAAAGCCAGGGGAGCGAACGGG
rnacentral:rRNA from 1 species